rnacentral:lncRNA from 13 species
AUGAAAGGUAGAGCUGUACAUUUGUCCAGACCCAAACCCUCUCCACAUCCUCACCAGCUCAUGAAACCCUCUCCACAUCAUCACCAGGCCAUGAAACCCUCUCCACAUCAUCUCCAGGUCAUGAAACCCUCUCCACAUCAUCUCCGGGUCAUGAAACCCUCUCCACAUCAUCACCAGGCCAUGAAACCCUCUCCACAUCAUCUCCAGGUCAUGAAACCCUCUCCACAUCAUCUCCGGGUCAUGAAACCCUCUCCACAUCAUAUCCGGGUCAUGAGAUCAGAGAUGAUGUGGAGAGGGUUUCGUAGCUGUUUACAUACCACCACAGUCAGAGGCUGGCACUAAGUCAGCAUUGAAUGAGCUGUAUUCUGCCAUAAGCAAAAAAGAAAAUGCUCACCCAGAGGCGGCGCUCCUAGUAACCCGGGACUUUAAUACAAGGAAACUUAAAUUCAUUUCACCAAAUUUCUAUCAGCACAUUAAAUGUGCAGCCAGAGGGAAAAAAACUCUGGACCACCUGUACUCCACACACAGAGACACAUACAAAGCUCUCCCUCGCCCUCCAUUUGGAAAAUCUGACCAUAAUUAUGUCCCCUGAUUCCUGCUUACAAGCAAAAAUUCAAGCAGGCAGGCACCAGUGACUAUAUCAAUAAAAAGGUGGUCAGAUGAAGCAGAUGCUAAGCUACAGGACUGUUUUGCUAGCACUGACUGGAAUAUGUUCUGGGAUUCCUCCGAUGGCAUGGAGAAGUACACCACAUCAGUCAUUGGCUUCAUCAAUAAGUGCAUCGACGACAUCGUCCCCACAGUGACCAUACGUAAAAAACCUAACCAGAAGCCAUGGAUUACAGGCAGCAUCCAUACUGAGCUAAAGGUUGGAGCUGCUGCUUUCAAGGAGCGGGACACUAACCCGGAAGCUUAUAAGAAAUCCCGCUAGGCCCUCUGACAAACCAUCAAACAGGCAAUGCGUCAAUACAGGACUAAGAUCAAAUCGUACUAGCGAUGACCCUCGUCGGAUGUGGCAGGGAAGCACA